CGCUUCACUCCUACGGGAGGCAGCAGUGGGGAAUAUUGCACAAUGGGGGAAACCCUGAUGCAGCCAUGCCGCGUGUGUGAAGAAGGCCUUCGGGUUGUAAAGCACUUUCAGUAGGGAGGAAGGUAGUGUAGUUAACACCUGCAUUAUUUGACGUUACCUACAGAAGAAGCACCGGCUAACUCCGUGCCAGCAGCCGCGGUAAUACGGAGGGUGCGAGCGUUAAUCGGAAUUACUGGGCGUAAAGCGCAUGCAGGCGGCCUGUUAAGUCAGAUGUGAAAGCCCGGGGCUUAACCUCGGAAUUGCAUUUGAAACUGGCAGGCUAGAGUCUUGUAGAGGGGGUAGAAUUUCAGGUGUAGCGGUGAAAUGCGUAGAGAUCUGAAGGAAUACCGGUGGCGAAGGCGGCCCCCUGGACAGAUACUGACACUCAGAUGCGAAAGCGUGGGGAGCAAACAGGAUUAGAUACCCUGGUAG
rnacentral:rRNA from 1 species